UCCACGCCGUAAACGAUGAUAACUCGUUGUUGGCGAUACACAGUCAGCGACUAAGGGAAACCGAUAAGUUAUCCACCUGGGGAGUACGGUCGCAAGAUUGAAACUCAAAGGAAUUGACGGGGGCCCGCACAAGCGGUGGAGCAUGUGGUUUAAUUCGAUGAUACGCGAGGAACCUUACCCGGGCUCAAAUGCUGGACGACAGUCCCUGAAAGGGGAUCUCCUUCGGGCGUCCA
rnacentral:rRNA from 1 species